GCUCAUUAAAUCAGUUAUCGUUUAUUUGAUAGUACCUUACUACUUGGAUAACCGUGGUAAUUCUAGAGCUAAUACAUGCUAAAAACCCCAACUUCGGGAGGGGUGUAUUUAUUAGAUAAAAAACCAAUGCCCUUCGGGGCUCCUUGGUGAUUCAUGAUAACUUCUCAGAUCGCAUGGCUUUACGCCGGCGACGGUUCAUUCAAAUUUCUGCCCUAUCAACUUUCGAUGGUAAGGUAUUGGCUUACCAUGGUUUCAACGGGUAACGGGGAAUUAGGGUUCGAUUCCGGAGAGGGAGCCUGAGAAACGGCUACCACAUCCAAGGAAGGCAGCAGGCGCGCAAAUUACCCAAUUCCGAUACGGAGAGGUAGUGACAAUAAAUACUGAUACAGGGCUCUUUUGGGUCUUGUAAUUGGAAUGAGUACAAUUUAAACCUCUUAACGAGGAACAAUUGGAGGGCAAGUCUGGUGCCAGCAGCCGCGGUAAUUCCAGCUCCAAUAGCGUAUAUUAAAGUUGUUGCAGUUAAAAAGCUCGUAGUUGAACCUUUGGCCUGGCUGGCAGGUCCGCCUCACCGCGUGCACUUGUCCGGCCGGGCCUUUUCUUCUGGAGAACCGCAUGCCCUUCACUGGGUGUGUUGGGGACCAGGACUUUUACUUUGAAAAAAUUAGAGUGUUCAAAGCAGGCCUUUGCUCGAAUACGUUAGCAUGGAAUAAUAGAAUAGGACGUGCGGUCCUAUUUUGUUGGUUUCUAGGACCGCCGUAAUGAUUAAUAGGGACAGUCGGGGGCAUCAGUAUUCAAUUGUCAGAGGUGAAAUUCUUGGAUUUAUUGAAGACUAACUACUGCGAAAGCAUUUGCCAAGGAUGUUUUCAUUAAUCAGUGAACGAAAGUUAGGGGAUCGAAGACGAUCAGAUACCGUCGUAGUCUUAACCAUAAACUAUGCCGACUAGGGAUCGG
rnacentral:rRNA from 3 species